GACGGAGGGCGCGAACGUUGUUCGGAAUCACUGGGCGUAAAGGGCGCGUAGGCGGAACGGUAAGUCAGGGGUGAAAUCCCGGGGCUCAACUUCGGGACUGCCUUUGAAACUGCCGUUGUAGAGUGCAGGAGAGGAAGGCGGAAUUCCAGGUGUAGCGGUGGAAUGCGUAGAUAUCUGGAAGAACACCAGUGGCGAAGGCGGCCUUCUGGACUGACACUGACGCUGAUGCGCGAAAGCUAGGGGAGCAAACAGG
rnacentral:rRNA from 1 species